rnacentral:rRNA from 1 species
CAAUAGCGUAUAUUAAAGUUGUUGCGGUUAAAAAGCUCGUAGUUGGAUUUCUGCCGAGGACGACCGGUCCGCCCUCUGGGUGUGUAUCUGGUUUGGCCUGGGCAUCUUCUUGGAGAACGUAGCUGCACUUGACUGUGUGGUGCGGUGUCCAGGACUUUUACUUUGAGGAAAUUAGAGUGUUUCAAGCAGGCACACGCCUUGAAUACAUUAGCAUGGAAUAAUAAGAUAGGACCUCGGUUCUAUUUUGUUGGUUUCUAGAGCUGAGGUAAUGAUUAAUAGGGAUAGUUGGGGGCAUUCGUAUUUAACUGUCAGAGGUGAAAUUCUUGGAUUUGUUAAAGACGGAUUACUGCGAAAGCAUUUGCCAAGGAUGUUUUCAUUGA